rnacentral:rRNA from 1 species
UGGGGAAUUUUGCGCAAUGGGCGAAAGCCUGACGCAGUAACGCCGCGUGGAGGAUGAAGGCUUUAGAGUCGUAAACUCCUGUCAGGGGGAACGAUGGAGGUAGGGCGAACAGCUCUACUGCCAAGACGGUACCUCCAAAGGAAGCCCCGGCUAAUUCCGUGCCAGCAGCCGCGGUAAUACGGAAGGGGCGAGCGUUGUUCGGAAUCAUUGGGCGUAAAGGGCGCGUAGGCGGUCUCAUAUGUCUGCUGUGAAAUCACACGGCUCAACCGUGUUAGGUCGGUGGAAACUGUGAGACUUGAGGCUGGGAGGGGCUGGCGGAAUUCCCCAUGUAGCGGUGAAAUGCGUAGAGAUGGGGGAGAACACUCGUGGCGAAGGCGGCCAGCUGGACCAGUUCUGACGCUGAGGCGCGAAAGCGUGGGGAGCAAACAGGAUUAGAUACCCCCGUAGUCC